GGAAGCUUGCUUUUCGGAUCAGUGGCGAACGGGUGAGUAACACGUGAGUAACCUGCCCUUGACUCUGGGAUAACUGCUAGAAAUGGUAGCUAAUACCGGAUACGACCCUCGGCCGCAUGGUCAGGGGGUGGAAAGAAUUUUGGUCAAGGAUGGACUCGCGGCCUAUCAGGUAGUUGGUGAGGUAAUGGCUCACCAAGCCUACGACGGGUAGCCGGCCUGAGAGGGUGACCGGCCACACUGGGACUGAGACACGGCCCAGACUCCUACGGGAGGCAGCAGUGGGGAAUAUUGCACAAUGGGCGAAAGCCUGAUGCAGCAACGCCGCGUGAGGGACGACGGCCUUCGGGUUGUAAACCUCUUUUAGUAGGGAAGAAGCGAAAGUGACGGUACCUGCAGAAAAAGCACCGGCUAACUACGUGCCAGCAGCCGCGGUAAUACGUAGGGUGCAAGCGUUGUCCGGAAUUAUUGGGCGUAAAGAGCUCGUAGGCGGUUUGUCGCGUCUGCUGUGAAAUCCGGAGGCUCAACCUCCGGCCUGCAGUGGGUACGGGCAGACUAGAGUGCGGUAGGGGAGAUUGGAAUUCCUGGUGUAGCGGUGGAAUGCGCAGAUAUCAGGAGGAACACCAAUGGCGAAGGCAGAUCUCUGGGCCGUAACUGACGCUGAGGAGCGAAAGCAUGGGGAGCGAACAGGAUUAGAUACCCUGGUAGUCCAUGCCGUAAACG
rnacentral:rRNA from 1 species